UACGGAGGGUGCAAGCGUUGUCCGGAAUCACUGGGCGUAAAGGGCGCGUAGGCGGCUCAUGAAGGCUGUGGUGAAAGUCCGGGGCUCAACCUCGGAUCGGCCGUGGCGACUCGUGGGCUGGAGCACUGUAGAGGCGGGUGGAAUUCCGGGUGUAGCGGUGGAAUGCGUAGAUAUCGAGAGGAACACCAGUGGCGAAGGCAGGUCUCUGGGCCACUACUGACGCUGAGACGCGAAAGCGUGGGGAGCGAACAGG
rnacentral:rRNA from 1 species